rnacentral:rRNA from 1 species
UACGAAGGGGGCUAGCGUUGCUCGGAAUCACUGGGCGUAAAGCGUGCGUAGGCGGUUUGUUAAGUCUGCUGUGAAAUCCCCGGGCUCAACCUGGGAAUGGCAGUGGAUACUGGCAAGCUAGAGUGUGUCAGAGGAUGGUGGAAUUCCCGGUGUAGCGGUGAAAUGCGUAGAGAUCGGGAGGAACAUCAGUGGCGAAGGCGGCUCAUGGAGCAACACUGACGCUGAGGCACGAAAGCGUGGGGAGCAAACAGG